UCUUUUUCCACCGGGACUUGCUCCACCGGAAAAAGANGAGUGGCGAACGGGUGAGUAACACGUGGGUAACCUGCCCAUCAGAAGGGGAUAACACUUGGAAACAGGUGCUAAUACCGUAUAACAAUCNAAACCGCAUGGUUUUGAUUUGAAAGGCGCUUUCGGGUGUCGCUGAUGGAUGGACCCGCGGUGCAUUAGCUAGUUGGUGAGGUAACGGCUCACCAAGGCCACGAUGCAUAGCCGACCUGAGAGGGUGAUCGGCCACAUUGGGACUGAGACACGGCCCAAACUCCUACGGGAGGCAGCAGUAGGGAAUCUUCGGCAAUGGACGAAAGUCUGACCGAGCAACGCCGCGUGAGUGAAGAAGGUUUUCGGAUCGUAAAACUCUGUUGUUAGAGAAGAACAAGGAUGAGAGUAACUGUUCAUCCCUUGACGGUAUCUAACCAGAAAGCCACGGCUAACUACGUGCCAGCAGCCGCGGUAAUACGUAGGUGGCAAGCGUUGUCCGGAUUUAUUGGGCGUAAAGCGAGCGCAGGCGGUUUCUUAAGUCUGAUGUGAAAGCCCCCGGCUCAACCGGGGAGGGUCAUUGGAAACUGGGAGACUUGAGUGCAGAAGAGGAGAGUGGAAUUCCAUGUGUAGCGGUGAAAUGCGUAGAUAUAUGGAGGAACACCAGUGGCGAAGGCGGCUCUCUGGUCUGUAACUGACGCUGAGGCUCGAAAGCGUGGGGAGCAAACAGGAUUAGAUACCCUGGUAGUCCACGCCGUAAACGAUGAGUGCUAAGUGUUGGAGGGUUUCCGCCCUUCAGUGCUGCAGCUAACGCAUUAAGCACUCCGCCUGGGG
rnacentral:rRNA from 1 species